rnacentral:rRNA from 1 species
UACGUAGGGUGCAAGCGUUGUCCGGAAUUAUUGGGCGUAAAGAGCUCGUAGGCGGUUUGUCGCGUCGAAUGUGAAAACCCGGGGCUCAACCCCGGGCCUGCAUUCGAUACGGGCAGACUAGAGUUCGGUAGGGGAGUCUGGAAUUCCUGGUGUAGCGGUGAAAUGCGCAGGUAUCAGGAGGAACACCGGUGGCGAAGGCGGGACUCUGGGCCGAUACUGACGCUGAGGAGCGAAAGCGUGGGGAGCGAACAGG